CCUACGGGCGGCAGCAGUGGGGAAUAUUGGGCAAUGGAGGAAACUCUGACCCAGCAAUGCCGCGUGAAUGAAGAAGGUCUUCGGAUUGGAAAGUUCUUUAUUCAGGGGAGAAUAAAAUUACGCUACCUGAAGAAUACGCUCCGGCUAACUACGUGCCAGCCGCCGCGGUGAUACGUAGGGCGCAAGCGUUGUUCGGAAUUACUGGGCGUAAAGGGUUCGUAGGCGGUUAUACAAGUUAUAAGGGAAAUACUCAGGGCUUAACUCGGUUGCUGCUUCUAAAACUGUAUGACUUGAGUGCAGUAGAGGUAAGCGGAAUGCGUGGUGUAGCGGUGAAAUGCGUAGAUAUUAGGAGGAACACCAGUGGCGAAGGCGGCUAACUGGACCGCAACUGACGCUGAGGCACGAAAGUGUGGGGAGCAAACAGGAUUAGAUACCCUUGUAGUC
rnacentral:rRNA from 1 species